rnacentral:rRNA from 1 species
UACGGGGGGGGCAAGCGUUGUUCGGAAUUACUGGGCGUAAAGGGCUCGUAGGUGGCCAACUAAGUCAGACGUGAAAUCCCUCGGCUUAACCGGGGAACUGCGUCUGAUACUGGAUGGCUUGAGUUCGGGAGAGGGAUGCGGAAUUCCAGGUGUAGCGGUGAAAUGCGUAGAUAUCUGGAGGAACACCGGUGGCGAAGGCGGCAGUCCUGGGACCGACACUGACGCUGAGGAGCGAAAGCCAGGGGAGCAAACGGG